UACGGAGGGUGCAAGCGUUAUCCGGAUUCACUGGGUUUAAAGGGUGCGUAGGUGGGCAGGUAAGUCAGUGGUGAAAUCUCCGGGCUUAACCCGGAAACUGCCAUUGAUACUAUCUGUCUUGAAUACCGUGGAGGUGAGCGGAAUAUGUCAUGUAGCGGUGAAAUGCUUAGAUAUGACAUAGAACACCAAUUGCGAAGGCAGCUCACUACACGGAUAUUGACACUGAGGCACGAAAGCGUGGGGAUCAAACAGG
rnacentral:rRNA from 1 species